GGUCGCUCUGGCAGCCCUCGUCGUUGAGCGAGCUCUGCUUGGUGACCUUGGGCGAGAGCAGCUUCACCAGGUCGCCCAGC
rnacentral:pre_miRNA from 1 species